rnacentral:rRNA from 1 species
GAUGAACGCUGGCGGCGUGCCUAAUACAUGCAAGUCGAGCGAACGGACGAGAAGCUUGCUCCUCUGAUGUUAGCGGCGGACGGGUGAGUAACACGUGGAUAACCUACCUAUAAGACUGGGAUAACUUCGUGAAACCGUAGCUAAUACCGGAUAAUAUUUUGAACCGCAUGGUUCAAAAGUGAAAGACGGUCUUGCUGUCACUUAUAGAUGGAUCCGCGCUGCAUUAGCUAGUUGGUAAGGUAACGGCUUACCAAGGCAACGAUGCAUAGCCGACCUGAGAGGGUGAUCGGCCACACUGGAACUGAGACACGGUCCAGACUCCUACGGGAGGCAGCAGUAGGGAAUCUUCCGCAAUGGGCGAAAGCCUGACGGAGCAACGCCGCGUGAGUGAUGAAGGUCUUCGGAUCGUAAAACUCUGUUAUUAGGGAAGAACAUAUGUGUAAGUAACUGUGCACAUCUUGACGGUACCUAAUCAGAAAGCCACGGCUAACUACGUG